rnacentral:rRNA from 1 species
GACGAACGCUGGCGGCGUGCCUAACACAUGCAAGUCGAGCGGAGACAUAUAGCGGAUAGGAAGUUUUCGGAUGGAAUUGAAGAAGUAUGUUUUAGCGGCGGACGGGUGAGUAACGCGUGAGCAAUCUGUCCUUCACAGGGGGAUAACACAGCGAAAGUUGUACUAAUACCGCAUAAGACCACGGUGUUGCAUGACACAGGGGUCAAAGGAGUAAUCCGGUGAAGGGUGAGCUCGCGUCCGAUUAGGUAGUAGGUGAGGUAACGGCCCACCUAGUCGACGAUCGGUAGCCGACCUGAGAGGGUGAUCGGCCACAUUGGGACUGAGACACGGCCCAAACUCCUACGGGAGGCAGCAGUGGGGAAUAUUGGGCAAUGGGGGGAACCCUGACCCAGCAACGCCGCGUGAGGGAAGAAGGUUUUCGGAUCGUAAACCUCUGUCCUUGGUGAAGAGGAAGAGACGGUAGCCAAGGAGGAAGCCCCGGCUAACUACGUGCCAGCAGCCGCCGUAACAC